AGGGGCUAUGAUGGUCGAUGUGUUCGGCUUUGUUAAAGCGUAUUGCCUCAGAGUAAACGCAGCGUUUUCAGAAUCAAACAGUCUCUCUUUGAGCUGCUCAACCAUUACAUUUACAUUAGGGAUUCUUCAAGCGAUAGGCUGUCAUUUUACUUUCAUCCCUUUACAAGGAAAUGUACAGUAUGCAGUCUGCAGACAAGUUAAGUAAUAUCCCUGUUUGCAAAUCUCGUAACAUUCCCCUGUACUCUAUUCUUCAAAUGUUACAAAAGUCUCGAUCUAAACUGACUGUUUUUCUAGUGAUGUUAUCUUUUUUUCACAGUGCAAAGCCCAAGCCGACUGCUGAGGUCCAUGAGAAUGAAGUAGUGAAGCAGGAUACAGGUCAGGAAGACCAAGAAAGUGACAGCGACAAUGAGGAUGAUGAUGAUGAUGACAUGUGUGUAACCAUUGGAGCCCCGUCACAGCCGUUCAGGCUGCAGGGAGAACACAUGCAUCAGUUUGCCCCAAAGCCAAAGGAGUGGACGUGGAUGCACAGGGUAGUGUUAACGGAAUCCCUGUGUUGGAGGUCGACGUGGAGUCUUUUGAAGAAAAGCCAUGGAGAAAGCAUGACUCGCACUUAACGAGGACUCCUGGAAAGCCUACUGUGAGAACCAGAGGAGAUUACGCAUGGGGUAUAAGGUCAUGAACCACGCUUCAGCCACUAAACUCAUGGAAUGGGACCUUCCCUGCUUUAGAUCUGACUACUCCUCCCCCAGCAACCACUACAAAUCAGCCUUGUCCAGAAAGACAAGCGGCACCACCAAUGUUAUUGGAGGACAAACUGGUACCAUCAGCCGGGUAGAGGAACAGAGACGUCACAAUAUAGAAGGAAAUAACAUCCAGGUGCUUUCCAAGCCAUCUGACGCUGAGCCUACUCCCACUAAGAUGCCCCCCUUCUUCCCCCUGCCUCCUUUCCCGCCUCCACCCUACAAUGUCAACUCUGCCCCUCCACUCAUUCCUCCACCACUAAUGUAUCUCGACAAUCGAUACCUCGAAUAUCCUUCAACUCUUGUCAAUGUAAAAAGGGCCUUACUUUCAUUGUGUGGGUGCAUCAUUAGUACAGUUGAGGGGUUUGAGGGACCAGAUGAAAGUGUAACCUUGAGAGUUGCAGGUGUAAAUCCCAUGCUGGGAACCCAUGAAGGACAGGCACCAUAAGUGGUAAUAAAUAACACUGCAUGUUGAAGGACAUGUUUAGGAUUUGGAGGUGAAUGCAGAUGGGUUAACAUAAACAUGUGGGUGUGUGUACAUUUGUGUGCACAUGGUCAUGAGUGUGCACUCUAUGGGUGAGUGUCUUUUUCCCCAGGUGUGUGUAAUUCUCUCCAGGUGUGUGGGUGCCAGUGCUUUCAGUCUGUCGGACUUCCUCCUCAUCGCCUGAUGAAUAUGAGGCAGAGGGCAGGAAGUCCCCCCUAGCCUGAGCUCACAGCUGAGCGCAGGCUGCCAUCGCUUCAUCUUCAAAGAUUCCAAAAUAGCACCCCUCACACACUCCCAGCACCCCCUAAGUUCAAUGAGCCCGGUACCGACAUGUUGUUCAACCUGUGCCAAAUAUCCUAAUACAACCAAAAUAUCAAACAUCCUGUUGACCCGGCAAACCUGGCUUUCCUUCUUUAAGUUACAGGCUCUGCCUCCUUUUGUGAUGCAAAUGUUUAACGUGAUAAAAAUAGCUCCUGGAAGAAAAGAAAAGUGCAGAGCCAGCAGAUUGGAGGGAGAGAGAGAGAGAGAACUUUGUUACUCUUGGUACAGUAGGGUCACAUUAGUGGUGUAGUAUUAUUGCUUGAUAGGGCCAGGUUUUAGCGUGGGGUUGUGUUGUCAUUGCAGGCCAGUCUGUGUAGUGAAGCACUAAGGGAUGCUGUCUGGAGCUCUAGUGUAGAACUGGUGGUACUGAUCAGUGUAGUUUGGCACAUACAUUGUGGUUAGUUUGACACCUGUACUGACUGAUAUGGCUGUGACGGUCUUGGAAUUUGAGGUUACGGUAAUUGGCCAGGCCAAUGUACAGACACCAACAUAAUCGUUCAAGAAUAUGCAUAUGCUUCCUAAUAAAACCUAUUUGAAACAAGCCAUUACACUUCGUUAUCAUCACGGCGAUUCAUUACUAUUAUUCAGGUUAUUACUUUUAAAUGUGGGAUUUUUGUAUCGACACAACAUCAGCAGAGUCAAAAUAAAGAUAUUCCUACCUUGUCUGUUGGCUUUUCUGCAUAUA